AGUCGAACGGAAAGGCCCCUUCGGGGGUACUCGAGUGGCGAACGGGUGAGUAACACGUGGGCAAUCUGCCCUGCACUUCGGGAUAAGCCUGGGAAACUGGGUCUAAUACCGGAUAGGACCUUUAGGCGCAUGUCUUUAGGUGGAAAGCUUUUGCGGUGUGGGAUGGGCCCGCG
rnacentral:rRNA from 1 species